rnacentral:rRNA from 1 species
ACUGGGGCGGUCUCCUCCUAAAGAGUAACGGAGGAGCACGAAGGUUGGCUAAUCCUGGUCGGACAUCAGGAGGUUAGUGCAAUGGCAUAAGCCAGCUUGACUGCGAGCGUGACGGCGCGAGCAGGUGCGAAAGCAGGUCAUAGUGAUCCGGUGGUUCUGAAUGGAAGGGCCAUCGCUCAACGGAUAAAAGGUACUCCGGGGAUAACAGGCUGAUACCGCCCAAGAGUUCAUAUCGACGGCGGUGUUUGGCACCUCGAUGUCGGCUCAUCACAUCCUGGGGCUGAAGUAGGUCCCAAGGGUAUGGCUGUUCGCCAUUUAAAGUGGUACGCGAGCUGGGUUUAGAACGUCGUGAGACAGUUCGGUCCCUAUCUGCCGUGGGCGCUGGAGAACUGAGGGGGGCUGCUCCUAGUACGAGAGGACCGGAGUGGACGCAUCACUGGUGUUCGGGUUGUCAUGCCAAUGGCACUGCCCGGUAGCUAAAUGCGGAAGAGAUAAGUGCUGAAAGCAUCUAAGCACGAAACUUGCCCCGAGAUGAGUUCUCCCUGAGACUUUAGGUCUCCUGAAGGAACGUUGAAGACGACGACGUUGAUAGGCCGGGUG